rnacentral:rRNA from 1 species
AUGAGAAUGACCAUUCCCACCAUUUCCGGUGCUGCUACCUCCGAGACCUCCGCCAAGAACGAAGACCAGGAAAUGGAAGAUGCUGCCACUUCCAACCUUGCUCCUCCUCAUGUCAUUGAUCUCCCUGAUGAUGAUGACGAGGCGCCACUGAGGCCGGGGAGGAAUAGAAAGGCGCCGGCUGGCAAGACCGCUCAGGUUGCAUCAGUGCCUGAGACACUGGUUCAGGAGGGUGGCAACAUCACUCGAACUUCCGUGUCCUUCGCUGUGCCGCUGACGAGCGCUCGGCCUUCAUCGUCGACUGUUGACCCGCCCUCCCUUUUAGCCACACACCACGUCCCAGAGGACCAAGAGGGUGCUGCUAAGGAGGCUAUACGCCAGGCGGGGAUCAUGAUGGAGCAGGUGAAGGCGAUCCGAGAAGCCAGCCAAGCGGCCUAUAAUGCUAGCUCAGCCCUUCAGAGCAACGUCCAGAAAUGUUGCGAGCUUGUGGGUCGCUAUACUGAAUUGGAAAACAAACAUAUCUAG